ACUGUUUUAGACUGUAAAAUUGUAAAAGAAUCAUUCCUAUGAUUUCAGUCUUUAAAACAUGUUCUGCUGAUUUGAAUUAGUGAAAACAAGUACAAUAUUGUCUUUGAUAUAGUGAAAACAUGUUUAGGAACGUUU